GUGGAUUAGAUACCCUGGUAGUCCACGCCCUAAACGAUGUCGACUGGGUGUUGGGGAAGCGAUUUCCCAGUACCGUAGCUAACGCGUGAAGUCGACCGCCUGGGGAGUACGGCCGCAAGGUUAAAACUCAAAGGAAUUGACGGGGACCCGCACAAGCGGUGGAUGAUGUGGAUUAAUUCGAUGCAACGCGAACAACCUUACCUACCCUUGACAUGUCCGGAAGCCCGGUGAGAGCUGGGGGUGCCCGAAAGGGAACCGGAACACAGGUGCUGCAUGGUCGUCGACAACU
rnacentral:rRNA from 1 species